GGAAGGGUCGCAUAGUGGCCGAGUGCGCCUGCUUGGAAAGCAGGUAUACUGUAACAGGUAUCGGGAGUUCGAAUCUCCCCCCUUCCGCCU
rnacentral:tRNA from 1 species